CGGGCGGACGGGUGGGUAACGCGUGGGUAACCUGCCUCAUACAGGGGGAUAACAGUUAGAAAUGACUGCUAAUACCGCAUAAGCGCACAGUACCACAUGGUACGGUGUGAAAAACUCCGGUGGUAUGAGAUGGACCCGCGUCUGAUUAGCUAGUUGGUGGGGUAACGGCCCACCAAGGCGACGAUCAGUAGCCGACCUGAGAGGGUGAUCGGCCACAUUGGGACUGAGACACGGCCCAA
rnacentral:rRNA from 1 species